rnacentral:rRNA from 1 species
UACGUAGGGUGCAAGCGUUAAUCGGAAUUACUGGGCGUAAAGCGUGCGCAGGCGGUCUUGCAAGACAGAUGUGAAAUCCCCGGGCUUAACCUGGGAACUGCAUUUGUGACUGCAAGGCUGGAGUGCGGCAGAGGGGGAUGGAAUUCCGCGUGUAGCAGUGAAAUGCGUAGAUAUGCGGAGGAACACCGAUGGCGAAGGCAGUCCCCUGGGCCUGCACUGACGCUCAUGCACGAAAGCGUGGGGAGCAAACAGG